AAUCAACGCUGGCGGCGUGCCUAACACAUGCAAGUCGAACGAGAAAGUGGAGCAAUCCAUGAGUAAAGUGGCGACCGGGUGAGUAACACGUGACUAACCUACCCUCGAGUGGGGAAUAACCCCGGGAAACCGGGGCUAAGUACCGCAUAAUAUCGCAAGAUCAAAGCAGUAAAUGCGCUUGAGGAGGGGGUCGCGGCCGAUUAGUUAGUUGGUAGGGUAACGGCCUACCAAGACGAAGAUCGGUAGCCGGCCUGAGAGGGCGCACGGCCACACUGGAACUGAAACACGGUCCAGACUCCUAC
rnacentral:rRNA from 1 species